rnacentral:tRNA from 1 species
GAUUGGGUCUGUAGCUCAGUUGGUUAGAGCGCACCCCUGAUAAGGGUGAGGUCGGCAGUUCGAAUCUGCCCAGACCCAACA